GAUGUCAAACAAACAUUUUUAGAGAAAAAAAGUGAGCAUGAAGGUCUGCCUCUAACACCACUUCUAAACAUAACCAUCACUGCAGUGUGAGCAAAUUGUACAAAGACUUAUGAAUGACAUCAUAUAAUUCAUACGAAUUAGCCACUAAAACAGUUAUGAAUUGCCAUGAAAUUGUGUUAAUAUGAGAAAAAAAUAUUAAUAAGCUGAGGAAAAAUGGACAAAAUUUAGAAGAUAUAAAAACAAAGCUAAACAUUUCCAAAGGUAGACUGAUGACAGGAUGAGUGACGUUCCUUUAACUCAACCAGAGCUAAACAAAUACAAAUGUAUUGAAUUCACUGUAAGACAUUUUGAUGAAAAGAAAGUUUUUCCCAAUGAAUGAAUGAGUGUGAAUGCAAAAUAAUCUGUGAUAAGCAAAGUAUAAACAAAGCACAUGAUAAUAAAAUUGUAAUGUUGCAUCAUACAGUCAUAUCCACAACCUCCUAGAUCUCUAUAUGAGGAGAUGAAGAGAGAACUGGAAAGAAGAAAGAAAAAAAUUGAUAGAAGAGAGAGAGAACUGGAAAUAGAAAUGGAUAGAAGAAAGGAAGAAAUGGAUAGAAGAGCGACGGAACUUGAUAGAAGAGAGAAAGAAAUGGGUGAUCGUGAAGUACUUCAUGAAUUGUCACUGAAAUGGAUAGAAGAAAGGAAGAAAUGGAUAGAAGAGAGAGAGAACUGGACAAAAAAUUGUAUAUAAGAAAGGAAGAAAUGGAUAGAAGAGAGAUAGAACUGAAAAUAGAAAUGGAUAGAAGAAAGAAGGAAAUGAAUAGAAUAGAGAGCGAACUGGACAAAAAAUUGUUUAUAAGAAAGGACGAAAUGGAUAGAAGAAAGGAAGAAAUGGAUAGAAGAAAGGAAGAAAUGGAUAGAAGAAAGGAAGAAAUGGAUAGAAGAGCGACGGAACUUGAUAGAAGAGAGAAAGAAAUGGGUGAUCGUGAAGUACUUCAUGAAUUGUCACCGGCAGCAGAAGCAGAAGACGGACCGGACACAAGCUCAGACGAAUCUUCAGUGAAGUGUUUCAUAGAAACACAAGAGAUGCCAGCUGAAGCUCUGAAACCUGUGCGAUGUCACAGCAAAGAAUUAAAUCGCUCAGAAUCACAUGCAAGAGCUCUAUCCGAGGCAAGAAAGAUGGAGCCGGAGAGAGAAUUGAACAAAACAGCCAUGGAACCGGAUAGAAGAGUGAUGGACCUGGAUAAAAGUGCAAUGGAUACCAAUAUUAGAGAGAGAGAACUGGAUAGAAGGGAGAGCAAAAUGGAGAGAAGAGUGAGAGAACUGAAGCAAAAAGAAACAGAACUGGAUAAAAGACCGAUGGACCAGCAGAGAACACAGAUGUGCUGGUUUAUAAGUCAUAUACUGGAGAAAAGAGAGAUGGAACAAGAUAUUAUAGAGACAGAACAGGAGAAAACAGCAAUGGAUCCAGAUAUUAGAGUGAGACAACCAGAGAAAAGAGUGAUUGAACCCCAUAUUACAGAGAGAGAACUGGAUAGAAGAGCGAUGGAACUGGAUAGAAGAGCAUUUGACUUGCAUGUGGAACUAAACAGAAGAGGGAUGGAAAUGGAUAUUAGACAGAGAGAAAUUGAGAAAAGAGCAGAGAGAAGACAGACCGAACUGGAUAAAAGACUGAUGGACCUGCAUGUAAGGCAAUAUAAGCUGUAUAUUAGAGACCAAGAAGCAAUGGAACUGGAUGGAAGAGAGAAAGGACUAAAGAAAAGAGUGAUGGAACCAGAUAUUACAGAGAUAGAAAUGGAGAGACAAGAGAUGGAACUGUAUAUUAGAGAGAGAGAACUGGAUAGAAGAGAGAGCGAAUUGGAGAGAAGAGAAACCAAACUGGAGAGAAGAGAAACCGAACUGGAUAGAAGAGAGAGCGAAUUGGAGAGAAGAGAAACCAAACUGGAGAGAAGAGAGAGCGAAUUGGAGAGAAGAGAAACCAAACUGGAGAGAAGAGAGGGUGAACUGGAGAGAAGACAGAGUGAACUGGAGAGAAGGCCUGAAGGAAUGAACCCUGUUCGAAGUAGCAGCAAUGAGUUAGACCAUCCUAACAGUAAGAAUUAUGUUAUUUAUGCACAGUUUGAUUUAUGCAUGUGAUGAUGGAAGAUCAUGAAAUAAUUAUAAUUUCAUCUGAUACAACAAACUUGACAUUCAUUUUAGGUCAGACCACACACUGGACCUCCUAAGAUAAGAUAAUGAACACUUUUAUCAAAUCAUUACUCUGCAUAAUGAUGACUACAUCUCAAGUAGACUUACAAAAUGUUUACUGUAUAUUGUUACUCAUUGUUGGGAGUAACAUACAUAACAUCAUCAGAUUUCUAUUUUUGAAGUAACAUGUAAAGUAACAUGUUCCCCUAUUUUAAACGUACACUAUAAUACCUAAUAAACCCUUUGCACGUGACGUCA
ensembl:lncRNA